rnacentral:rRNA from 1 species
UACGGAGGAUCCAAGCGUUAUCCGGAUUUAUUGGGUUUAAAGGGUGCGUAGGUGGCUUAUUAAGUCAGGGGUGAAAGACGGUAGCUUAACUAUCGCAGUGCCUUUGAUACUGAUGAGCUUGAAUACAGUUGAAGUAGGCGGAAUGUGACAAGUAGCGGUGAAAUGCAUAGAUAUGUCACAGAACACCGAUUGCGAAGGCAGCUUACUAAAGUGUGAUUGACACUGAGGCACGAAAGCGUGGGGAUCAAACAGG